rnacentral:rRNA from 1 species
GACGAACGCUGGCGGCGUGCUUAACACAUGCAAGUCGAACGGAAAGGCCCUGCUUUUGUGGGGUGCUCGAGUGGCGAACGGGUGAGUAACACGUGAGUAACCUGCCCUUGACUUUGGGAUAACUUCAGGAAACUGGGGCUAAUACCGGAUAGGAGCUCCUGCUGCAUGGUGGGGGUUGGAAAGUUUCGGCGGUUGGGGAUGGACUCGCGGCUUAUCAGCUUGUUGGUGGGGUAGUGGCUUACCAAGGCUUUGACGGGUAGCCGGCCUGAGAGGGUGACCGGCCACAUUGGGACUGAGCUACGGCCCAGACUCCUACGGGAGGCAGCAGUGGGGAAUAUUGCACAAUGGACGGAAGCCUGAUGCAGCAACGCCGCGUGCGGGAUGACGGCCUUCGGGUUGUAAACCGCUUUCGCCUGUGACGAAGCGUGAGUGACGGUAAUGGGUAAAGAAGCACCGGCUAACUACGUG